rnacentral:rRNA from 1 species
GACGGACGCUGGCGGCGUGCCUAAUACAUGCAAGUAGAACGCUGAAGGAGGAGCUUGCUUCUCUGGAUGAGUUGCGAACGGGUGAGUAACGCGUAGGUAACCUGCCUGGUAGCGGGGGAUAACUAUUGGAAACGAUAGCUAAUACCGCAUAAGAGUAGAUGUUGCAUGACAUUUGCUUAAAAGGUGCAAUUGCAUCACUACCAGAUGGACCUGCGUUGUAUUAGCUAGUUGGUGGGGUAACGGCUCACCAAGGCGACGAUACAUAGCCGACCUGAGAGGGUGAUCGGCCACACUGGGACUGAGACACGGCCCAGACUCCUACGGGAGGCAGCAGUAGGGAAUCUUCGGCAAUGGACGGAAGUCUGACCGAGCAACGCCGCGUGAGUGAAGAAGGUUUUCGGAUCGUAAAGCUCUGUUGUAAGAGAAGAACGAGUGUGAGAGUGGAAAGUUCACACUGUGACGGUAUCUUACCAGAAAGGGACGGCUAACUACGUG